GAUGAACGCUAGCUACAGGCUUAACACAUGCAAGUCGAGGGGUAACGAGAGGGAAGCUUGCUUUCCUUGUCGACGACCGGCGCACGGGUGAGUAACGCGUAUCCAACCUGCCCCCAACUAAGGAAUAACCUUGCGAAAGUAAGACUAAUACCCUAUAAUUUCCUCAGAUGACAUCUGACGGGGAAUAAAGAUUUAUCGGUUGUGGAUGGGGAUGCGUCUGAUUAGCUUGUUGGCGGGGUAACGGCCCACCAAGGCAACGAUCAGUAGGGGUUCUGAGAGGAAGGUCCCCCACAUUGGAACUGAGACACGGUACAAACUACUACGGGAGGCAGCAGUGAGGAAUAUUGGUCAAUGGGCGGAAGCCUGAACCAGCCAAGUAGCGUGCAGGAUGACGGCCCUAUGGGUUGUAAACUGCUUUUAUACAGGAAUAAAGUUAGCCACGUGUGGUUAUUUGUAGGUACUGUAUGAAUAAGGACCGGCUAAUUCCGUGCCAGCAGCAGCCGCCG
rnacentral:rRNA from 1 species